AGAGAUUAGUGGGUUAAUUAGUUAAUAAGAUUCCCUUUGGUAUAAGGGGUUUAAGAGGACUGUAUGGACAAAGAGGCCCCAAGGCUUCAGAUUUGAAGGUUUUAUUAGGGUGUGAAUGACUUUAAAAACUUUCAGUAGUGAAAUGUUUUCGUUGAAGUUAUAGGUGGGUUUAUUAGUACACAGGUAAGCUGUGUGGUUUAGAUUAGUGGAGAGGGUUUUAUAAAGCUUUGAAGUGUUUUAGUGUUUAGACUUCAAUUGAGUGUUUGAGAAUUUAAUUAUUGAUUUUUUGUUGUAGGGGUAUUAUCUCUUGAUGAAGGAUUUAAGUACUAGUAGAUUUGUUUAAGGGUUGGAUUAAAGAUUAGUCAAAUCAGAAUUAAAAACCCUGGCGAAUGUUUAUUAAAAACAUUUUUUGAUUUAUUUCAAGUAAGCCCUGCCUUGCGAUUCUUGCGGCCGCAGUAUUAUGACUGUGCUAAGGUAGCAUAAUCAGUUGUGUGUUUAUUGCACUCUUGUAUGAAUGGGUUAACGGUUGGGAAGUUUGGUUGAUUUGGCUGUGUCGAAAUUCUAGUGGUGGUGAAAAUACCAUCUGGGUUUUAAGACGGAAAGACCCCAAGAAGCUUGACAAGAAAUUGUUUAGUUGGGGUAAUUUUUGAAAAUUAGUGUUUCAAGGGUGUAGUUACUCUGGGGAUAACAGGGCAAUCUCCAAGAUGUGGGGGUUUGCUACCUCGAUGUUGGAUCAUCCUUUUUUGUCUGUUCGACAAAUUUGAGGGUACGUGAUUUGAGUUUAGAUCGGUGUGAGCCAGAUCGGUUCUUAUCUAAUAUUAAUGCUUGCUUAGUACGAAAGGAUAGGGGGGUUGAAAUAAUUUCAUUGCUAAUGUGGCAGAGUCAUGUGUUGGGUUUAGGGUCCAAAAAGAGAUUUAGUUGUG
rnacentral:rRNA from 1 species